UCCCGCGUAGCUCAAUGGAUAGAGCACCCCUCUCCUACAGGGAAGGUUGCAGGUUCGAGUCCUGUUGCGGGAA
rnacentral:tRNA from 1 species